GACGAACGCUGGCGGCGUGCUUAACACAUGCAAGUCGAGCGGUAAGGCCCUUCGGGGUCCCCGAGCGGCGAACGGGUGAGUAACACGUGAGUAGUCUGCCCAUCACUUCGGGAUAACUCCGGGAAACCGGUGCUAAUACCGAAUAUGACCACUUCAGGCAUCUGAUGGUGGUGGAAAGUUCCGGCGGUGAUGGAUGAGCUCGCGGCCUAUCAGCUUGUUGGUGGGGUAGUGGCCUACCAAGGCUUCGACGGGUAGCCGGCCUGAGAGGGUGACCGGCCACACUGGGACUGAGACACGGCCCAGACUCCUACGGGAGGCAGCAGUGGGGAAUAUUGGACAAUGGGCGAAAGCCUGAUCCAGCAACGCCGCGUGAGGGAUGACGGCCUUCGGGUUGUAAACCUCUUUCAGCAGGGACGAAGCGCAAGUGACGGUACCUGCAGAAGAAGCACCGGCCAACUACGUG
rnacentral:rRNA from 1 species